GGCAGAUUCUUUACCACUGAGCCACCUGGGAAGGUAUUAUACAUUCGUGUUGGUAACCUAGGUUUUCACUUUGUUUAAAGAGUAAUGUGACUGUGUGUGAUGAAGUGUCUUUCCAAGUCCUGGACAGGGUUGAGGAAACCCUCUUCAUCGUUUUAAAACGCGCUUGAACUGAGAGGUCUGCUUGAGCCCGUCGCCCUGCAGCUCCAGGGAAAAGACAUGUUGGAAUCUUGUGCUUUGAUAAUUUAUGGUUUCAAAUGUGUAUCAAACUAAGAAAAUUUCACUCCUUAGUCCAAGUGCCUUUCUAACAGAAGUCAUUCCUAAAUAAGCUUCCUGGUCCUUCAGACAUAGGUUGGUGGUUGGCAGGUUUUGUGAGGAGUAAGCGGUGUGGCCCCAAAGGCCCUGGGCAUAGACCCCCAGGCACGGAGACCCCCCGGGGCCCCUCAGCACUCCCCUCCUCCCUUGCAGACUCUAGGGAGACAGCACACGCCUGGGAACACCGCCUCCUCCUGCCUCGCUGGAUCCUCCUUCAGUGAGGCCAAUGCAGUUCUCAGUCAACCACAAGCGCUCCUCAGGUCUGCCGAGCAUCGCCGCACGGUGGCCGCCACCCCCCGGUGGGGCCAGGUCUCCACUGCGCCCCAGUCUUCUCAUGAGACCCUGAUGAGUCACCCACUGCGCCUAAUCUAACGGGGCUCUGGUGAGAACCAGCGAAAACUCCGGGAAGGGACGCGUGCGCCAUGACGGCUGCUGCUGUGCAUCCGACAGGAAGACCACAGCCCUGCCACAGACCAGAGGACACCCAGGGGCUCCAGGGACCAGAUGCGGGGUAGGGGCCUGUGCUGGAUCCUGACCCAGAAGAAGGACGUUCACAGAAAAACCGGACUCUGCCUCUGGAGAAAGGGCAUCCAUUCGGGGUGCUUGUGUCUGCCCUCCCUUCGCAGCUGUGAGCGUCUUGCUUGGUUGACACGAGCUGUGCGCCCUCCGGUUCCCACCACGGCAAGCCAUCCUUUCUCCCUUCGGAGGCAAGCGAAAAGGAGCAGAAUUCCGGCUUCACCAUCCCUGGUGACGAGCGGGCAGGGAGACUGUUCUCCUGAACCACGACCACCUCGUCACGGGUUGCCUCGCCCUCCCGUCACGGCUGGGCCAGCAGAGGCCAGGUGCCCCGAGUCCCCUCUCCUGGAUCCUCGGAGCGGGACGCUCCUCCAGGAAAGGACUUCCUCUCCCCACCGGCUGCGGGGACUGGGCGGCUGGCUGAUGGCUCGGCCCCCACUGACGGAGCUUUUCCAGUUUUGGAAAGUGGCGUGUGCCUCCUUGCCCAGGCAGACGGUAAUUUAUGCUGCGAAUUCAGGCCUGGGCGUGACGACUCAGUCCUUUCAGGCCCCUGAAAACCUGCUCCAGCCGCCAGCAGCACUGCCUCUGACCUGCCCUCGCCCACCGCCCUCGGCUCCCUGUCCCUGCCCGCCUCUCCCUCCAGGCCCCCACCUGCAGCCGCGCCAGCUGACGCCUGCCAGCACAGGGACGCGGUGACACCUUCUGCAGAGUUUUCGGCCAGAGCUGGACUCCUCUGAGCCCUUAACAAGCAGCCUGCUCUGUAACAAACCACAGGACAAAUAAUCGCUCCAGUGUGGCAGCCUGAGCUACUUAUUUUGCUUGAUUUAUGGGGAGUGAGACCCAAGGAUGCCGUGGGGCUUUUCAGACAUUGCUAAGUGUACGCUGACGCCCAGCGGGGUUGGGAAGGGGCUCAGUCUCCCAUACUCCAGCCGGGGCACAGGGCCUGGCAGCUGCAGGGAUGGAACGACGUGGGAAAGGGGGCAGGGAGGACCCCCCAG
ensembl:lncRNA